GGACUGAACAGGUUUAAAGUGAAUGAAGACGUUGACUAACCUUGGUUUGUUGAGCUGAACAGCAGAGAGCUCAGAACUAAAGAGAAAUGACACUCAGGUUAGUUUGAGUUCAACUAAAUCAUCAAGAAGAGUUUCAUUCAUCUCUGGUUCCUCUAAGAUCUCUGGUGGAUCCACUGCUGAGGACUCAGUCAUGUUAAAGAAUCAUUCA